CAUGCAGGCGGCCUGAUAAGAUAGAUGUGAAAGCUCCCGGCUCAACUGGGAGAGGUCAUUUAUGACUGUCAGGCUUGAGUUUGGUAGAGGAGAGCAGAAUUCCCGGUGUAGUGGUGGAAUGCGUAGAGAUCGGGAGGAAUACCAGUGGCGAAGGCGGCUCUCUGGGCCACAACUGACGCUCAGAUGCGAAAGCGUGGGGAGCGAACG
rnacentral:rRNA from 1 species